GACGAACGCUGGCGGCGUGCCUAAUACAUGCAAGUCGAGCGCAGGAAACUGAGGGAACUCUUCGGAGGGAAGGCAGUGGAAUGAGCGGCGGACGGGUGAGUAACACGUAAGGAACCUGCCUCAAGGAUUGGGAUAACUCCGAGAAAUCGGAGCUAAUACCGGAUAGUUCAUCGGACCGCAUGGUCCGUUGAUGAAAGGCGCUUCGGCGUCACCUUGAGAUGGCCUUGCGGUGCAUUAGCUAGUUGGUGGGGUAACGGCCCACCAAGGCGACGAUGCAUAGCCGACCUGAGAGGGUGAUCGGCCACACUGGGACUGAGACACGGCCCAGACUCCUACGGGAGGCAGCAGUAGGGAAUCUUCCACAAUGGACGAAAGUCUGAUGGAGCAACGCCGCGUGAGUGAUGAAGGUUUUCGGAUCGUAAAACUCUGUUGUAAGGGAAGAACACGUACGAGAGGGAAUGCUCGUACCUUGACGGUACCUUAUGAGAAAGCCACGGCUAACUACGUGCCAGCCGCCGCAGUAA
rnacentral:rRNA from 1 species